UGUCCUUGUUUGGACAAAGUGGCUUCAACUUUUAUGGUGCUCAUCUUAGCCAGGGGCAAAGCAAUCCAUGUUAAUCCCAGCAUGGCUUUUGAUCUAUGCCUCUGUCUGGCUCAUGCCUUGGACACAUAU